UCCAAUGGCGGCGCCCAUGAAAAAACAUUGCGAAUGCCGAUUUAAAAAAAAUAAACAAUGAUAAACGUUUCACAUUAGAAUUAACAGUCUAUCGAGUGAUCAUAUGGUACGAUGGGCGCCAAAAAAUUAUCAUCUAUUGUGCUUACAAGACCUGUCGGCUCUGAAUAUGCUGUGAAUAGCCCAAAACAUCCGGGUUGACGUCAUUUCGACAUGUACAAAUGAUCAGAUGAUAUAGAAAAAGUAGGCAUCGAAAACAACGAUUGUCCACAAAACGCUCGAUUUAGCAAUGGUCUAUGUUGAUGCUAUUUUCUCUGAAAGCAAACUGUCUGUAAUCUGCAGCCAUUCAGCUACUGUUCCAGAAACUUGAAGGCGUAAAAAGUGAGCUGCCAUUACCACAGUACCUCAGAUAUGUAGGAACCAUGACAUUCGGGCAUUUCUGUUCUGUUGAAAUAAUACUUGAGCUGGAACCAUGACAUGAAAGAAGACCUUAGGAAAUAUAUGCAAGUGGAGAUUGAGACAUUAAAUUUGAAAAAUGAAAAGACUUAUGAAGCAAAUAGCAAGUUCUGAAUGCUUCAAACUAACUGUUAGUAGACUUUGGAUGAUUUACUGCAAACGUAGUGCAAAAAAGACUCAGAUACAAAUGUAUCAUAACAAUGCUUACAUGCCAAACUUCCAGGGCAUCUAUACAGGAGAAUUCAGUUGAAAGUCCAGGAGAUUUCAGAAUUUACAUUGUACCUAGUUUAAUAGUAUAAUUAAAAAGAUAGUUCUGUUCAAAUUCUUUUUGGUAAAUCUGAUUCAUUUUUAAAUCUACAAGGUAUUGUCAUCAUUUGUUGAUCUUUGUCAGCUUUGGUCUUGGUUAACAUUUUUGCUUAUGUUCCUCUUUUCUUCGAAACUAUAAGAAAUAUAGCUUUGAAACUUAGUUCACCUGUUUAUCAUCAUUAGAUAGCCAAGAGUCAUAAUUCCCACUUCUGUCACUUUUUGGCAGAAUUAUGACCCCUUGUGUACCUAGAAAAUUGGAAUUUCUUGGUUAAAUAUUUGGUUAAAUUAAAUGUUUCAUACUUUAAGAGCUAUAGCUUGAAACUUUAAAUGCUUGUUUAUCAUCAUUAGUUGACUAAAUAGGUCAUGAACCAUAACUAUUGCUUGUAUUCUGUCAGAAUAUGGGCUUUUUCAAUUUGUAUUUCUUGGUCAAUUUUUGUUUAGCUCGACUAUUUGAAGAAUAGGUAGAGCUAUCCUACUCAUCACAGCGUCAGCGUCGGCGUCACACCUUGGUUGAUUUUUUCAUACCAUUUCACAUAUUGACAAAACUUUUUGAGGUAAUGCUUUAAAACUUUCAACACUUGUGUACCAUCACCGUGUCAAGUUUUAGGCAAGAAUACUUAACUCCAUCAAGGAUUUUGGCUGAAUUAUGGUCCCUUUUAACUUACAAAUCUUGGUUAAGUUUUCAUACCAGUUCAUAUAUUGUGCAGACUGUUUGAUAUGUGGCUUUGGAACGUUUAUACCACUUGUUUAUUUUAUCUGUAGGCCUGGCAAGAGUACAUAACUCUGUCAAGUAUUUUGGCUGAUUUAUGGUCUUUUUGGACUUGAAAAUUGGUUCAGUUUUUGUACAAGUCCAUGCUUUGU
rnacentral:lncRNA from 1 species